rnacentral:misc_RNA from 1 species
GAAGAAUUAACAGGAUCCUCAUUUGAAUAUUCGGGCUUAAAUUUCACUUGAGGAACUGGAGACUUGCGGCGGAAAUUUGAUGGUGGUCUGGCAAAAGAUGACGAAUUAGGUUCUAGGACUCCACUCCUUUCUUUGUUAUUUGGAUCAAGGAAACUUGUGCUUUUAUCCUCCCUGUUUGAUCCACUAUGUUCCUGUUGGUCCACAGCUAAGUCUCGACCGCCAGCUUUUUUCUUACCUUGCUCAAUUGAGUGUUUCCUCAGCAGCUUAAGGAGUGAAUUCACAGUUUCACUCUCUUUACCUUUUGAGGUUUCGACCUUCUUGUCUUCUUUGACUGCAGCUCUUUCACGAAGCUGAGCCUGUACCUUCCUGAAUAGUUCAACAAUCUCCUUCUCUCUUGGCCCUGGGGCUGCAGUGGCUUGGAAUUUNNNNNNAUUUGAGAAAGAAAAUAAUGGUCCAUUCUUCGAAGUUAACAAAUCAGAUUCAUCAAGGUUUUCAAAGCUCUCUCUCUCCUCAUUUUUCCUGUUCCUGUUUCGGGAGAAACCCUGUCUGCUUUGCUUUGAGAAGUCUGGGUUUCUCCUAGGACCACCAGAACUUGCACUGCACACAAAAGAUGCUGCCCCGGAAGCACAUUUUAUUGACCCAAUCUUGACCUGUGAACAAAUUUUAUGAUUACCAUGAGAAGAACAAGGGGAUACAGUUACUGCCUUUCCAGAAAUUCCUGAACGAGGGAGACACCUGCCUUCUGAAGGACCAAAACCGGGAACGCUUUUAGAGAUGAGAUGGACUGCUUGCAACAUUGCAUUUGCAGUCGGGAUUGAGCUUCAGCUUGAGAUUAGAUUAAUGGGGUUUUGCAUUAGGAGU